rnacentral:rRNA from 1 species
AUUGAACGCUGGCGGCAGGCCUAACACAUGCAAGUCGAGCGAGCGGCGGACGGGUGAGUAAUGUCUGGGAAACUGCCUGAUGGAGGGGGAUAACUACUGGAAACGGUAGCUAAUACCGCAUACCAUCAGAUGUGCCCAGAUGGGAUUAGCUAGUAGGUGGGGUAACGGCUCACCUAGGCGACGAUCCCUAGCUGGUCUGAGAGGAUGACCAGCCAAACUGGAACUGAGACACGGCCCAGACUCCUACGGGAGGCAGCAGUGGGGAAUAUUGAGCAAUGGGCGCAAGUCUGACGGAGCCAGGCCGCGUGUGUGAAGAAGGCUUUCGGGUUGUAAAGCACUGUUGGCGGGGAAGCGGUACCCGAAGAGGAAGCACCGGCUAACUACGUGCCAGCAGCCGCGGUAAUAC